CUGGGAGUUGGGAGAUUGCAGUGAGCCAAGAUCGUGCCACUGCACUUCAGUCUGGCUGAAAGAGACCUCUGUCUCAAAAAAAUAAGUUUUCUAAAAAAAGAAAGAACAAAGGGCCUCCCUUGAUGGGCCCUGCUCAUCACAAAGCAUCCAUGGGCUGUUACUCCGGCAGGUCUGCCCAGCAUGAUGCCAGCCUCUGGGAAGAGGUCUCCUGGUCAAUGCCUCUCCCCGAUACACGAAAGAAUGACUGUCAGCAAAGUCAAUGUCUAAUGUAGAUGUGGGUCAUCUGGUCCACCCACUCUCCAUACCUAGCCCAUCCUUAGAGUGACUUUUGGACCUCACUGUCCACUUGAGGGAAGGCUAGUCCACAGGAAGGAGGCCCCAGAGCACCCAGUGUGGCUACGGCACUUGCUACGGGGACCUCUAAGCCCCACUGCUCUCUUAGUCCAUAGGCGUCCUUUGGGGAUUCUUGCCAAUGGGAAGACCCUUGGAUUCCUGAUGUUAGUAUCUGUUUAUUCAGAGAGAGUUGGCCCAUGAGAAUCUCAUUUUCCUUUGAUGAAUCUUGCCAAUACUUUUGAGUAACAACUAGAUGAAUACUUUUGAGUAACAACUAACUGCUCAGAUGGCUUUCUGAGUACAAUGCCAGUUUCAGGAGAAGGGACACUUGUCAUAGUGCUGCUUUGUGAUUUGCAAAUGGAAUGUGUUGGAUUUCUGUUUCUCUUUUUUCUUUAACGAUGCAUGUUACUGCAUCUGCUAAUCUCCCUUAGCCAGUGUUCACCAGGAGGGCUUCCUGGAGGCAGUGGCUUUGGGCAGAGGCAGAGGUUCUUCUCCCAGGGUAUUUUGCAGGCCCUAAAGGGAUUUCAGCCGUUUUACAUUUACAUUAUUUCAAAUGGUAUGGGAUUGCCUGUCUUUUGGUAACCAAUCCUGUCUUGAAGAGAUGCUGGGAAGUAAAGUCAACUGUAUGGCAGGCCCAGCUCCAGGGACAGCCAGAUGAGGCUUGUCACCUGGCCCGUCCCACUUGGUCUCAGGCCUCACACGAGGAGAUGUCCACUCCAGCGAAGACCUGGCGUGGUCCUCACCUGCUCUUCGAGCCACUCUUUGGUACUUGAAGAGAGGAUACCCUUUGUAUGUUCACUUGAUUAGUGGUGAAUAUACAGGGGGAGACUCUUAUUUGCGUAUCAAACUCUGUCGGGGAAGGCGCUCGGACCCUGCUGUCUCCAGGACAAAGCCGUGGAUGUCAGCCCAUCUCAGGUACAGCCUGGUUUCCCUGUCUGGGAACGUGAGCUUGGCUGUGAUCCUGGCCCUUGGGUUCUGCCUUUGCCCUCUGUGCUGGUUCUUCCUGUGGACUCCCUGGAGGCAGCGGGAGAGGAGGGUCCUUUUUGUGUGCACCGAGUUUAAUGGUGGUUUGCUUUUUUAAGGAUAAAUCACACGGAUCUGCCUCUUCUCCAUACCAAGUCAUACCCAGAAGGCUUCCUGCUUCUGGCACUAACCUCGCACCUCUUUGGACACAAGAAUGGGUGGUGGAGGGUGGAGCACGGAGCCGAUGCUGCUGCUCACCUGCUACUCCCCUGACCUGCUACUCCCCCGUGGGCUUCGUCCUUGAGAGAGUGUCAGCCUUGAGGGAAGCACAUGGAUGUCAGGCUGUUCUAAGGCAAGUGACUGGUGGAGCUCCCUGAACCUGCCUGUGCCCUCUGGGACUGUUGCUGGACUCCAAUGGCCAGUCCUCGGAGCACAUUGUCCAGUGGAUUGCACCUGAGUGUGCCUUGGGCAGGUGUGUCUGGUCUUCAGGACUCCUUUGUCCCCAGUGUCUGAUGCUGGGGCCCUCUUUUUAUUUGUUUUGAGGCAGGUACAGGUGACACAUUCUUGGAUCUGGUCAUCUCUAGGACAGCCAGCCUCAGAGGAGGGACAGUGUCUCAGCACUCUCCAGCUCUGAGAAUGCCUGCAGAUGCCCUCUUCUCUGAUGAGUCCAUGUCUUCCAGGGCUGAGCCCUCACACCCCAUGCCCCUUUGGAGAAAGGUGAUGGUUCCAUUGUCCAUGUAGCUUGUGGGUAUUUGAAGCAGGUUCACCCAUGCAUGCUGAGUACAUUGAUAGUUAUGCCCACCUGUUCCGUUGUUUAGAAGCCAAUCUCGCUGCAGGGAGUCCUGGAUGUGCCACCUUUCAGGGCCAUGCCACCACCUGCAAGGUGCAGGCCCAGCUCCAGGGUCAGCCAGAUGAGGCUUGUCACCUGGCCCCUCCCCUUUGGUCUCAGGCCUCACAGGAGGAGAUGUCCACUCCAGCGAAGACCUGGCAUGGUCCUCACCUGCUCUUCGAGCUGCUCUUUGGUACUUGAAGAGAGGAUACCCUUUGUAUGUUCACUUGAUUAAUGGUGAAUAUACAGGGGGAGACUCUUAUUUGCGUAUCAAACUCUGUCGGGGGAGACGCUCGGACCCUGCUGUCUCCAGGACAAAGCCGCGGAUGUCAGCCCCUGUCAGGUACGGCCUGGCUUCCCUGUCUGGGAACGUGAGCUUGGCAGUGAUCCUGGCCCUUGGGUUCUGCCUUUGCCCUCUGUGCUGGUUCUUCCUGUGGACUCCCUGGAGGCAGUGGAAGAGGGGGGUCCUUUUUGUGUGCACCGAGUUUAAUGGUGGUUUGCUUUUUGAAGGAUAAAUCACACAUCGAUCUGACUCUUUUUGGUACCAAGUCAUACCCAGAAGGUUUCCUGUUCCCAGCAUCAGCUUUAUAAGGGAGACCUGGAUGUUGCAUCAUUUCAAGGGGAACACAGACAGGAGGGAUGCUGGAGCACGGAGCACUGGCUCUGUCUGUGCUGGUUUCCAGCCUGGUAGGCCAGCCCAGGAGGACUUCCUAGAGGUGGUAUUGACCUUGGGGAAGGGUGUGAGGUGUGCUCACCAGCGUUUUUUGUUUUUUGUUUUUGGAUGCUUGGGUGUUCAUGAUCCAGCUUGCAGUCCCCAGGCUGAAUCUGCAAGAGUGGUUUGUUUCUAUUUGUCGUUUGUGAUUGCCCAUGAAGGCAGCUCUGGGGAUGAGCCGUGAGAGCCGUCAGCCCCGCACCAGGUAUGUGAAUGUGGGAGGUCAGAGGGCGCCUGCUUCUGCCUCGGUGUCUGUGCCCCGCCUCUGACUGUCGGCUUUCUGCUCACACCUAGGAUGGCGGCCUGAGAAUGGGACUCUGGUUCUGUGUUUGUGGAGACACUCCUUGGGCCGUGUGACUGCCAGCUUUUUACACCCCGACUACCAUGGGGGUCAUGUGGACCCGAAGCCAGCUUCAGGAAGGGCAUUCGCCGCAUCCUUAGCCCAAGGAAAGUGAACGUUCUGGUGAAGAGAGGUGAGCGCCAGCCUGGGUAAUGAGUCACACAACCUGCCACCUAGACCGGCAUCUCCUGCUCCUCUCCCCUUCUCGAGGGAGAGGCACUGUGGGGAAUGGGCCGUAGGUCUGCUUCCUAAGUUACUCGGGGGUAUGGGGGUUUGAGUACUGUUGACCAUGAGCUCUUUCUUAGCCUGUCUUCAUGGACACGAUGCCAGCCUCUGGCAGGGAUGGGGCAAGGGCUGGCAUGGAGAAUGACACUGGUGUUAACGGCUCUGUGAGAUGGAUGAAGGAAUGGUGACCACAGGGCCUUUGCUUUGUCUAAGGCGUAAAUUCAUCCAGUGCCUGGGACCUCGGUGCUGAGUGCAUCCUUAGGAAGACUUCCUGGAGAGGUGCUCACACUGGGAAGGAGAUGGUGGUCCCAGCCCAGGGAGUUCCUGUAGAAAGGGAGAAGCUGAGCUCUGUGUGUGCCCAGGAAGGCCCGUGGGGUAGAUCUCCUUUUCAGGAACAAGCCCUAAUCUGGAGUGAUGCCUGGAAAUGAGGCUGAUUCCGGCGAAGGGGUGCUGGCAUCUUUGGGAUGGAGAGCUGACCUAUGGGCACACGGCUGGCAGGUGGUGUUUGCCACCUGGUCUGCUGAUCCCGCGUCUCCCACCCCCUCCUCCCCCAGGAUGAACCCCGGGAGACGAGGCCGGCCCUGUGAAUGAUAGUGAGGAACCUGCCCAGUGCUAUUGUUUGGUACUUAAAGCGAGGUUGCCCUUUGUAUAUUCGGUUUAUUGACAUGGAAUAUACAAGGGCAAGCUCUCUGUGAGUAUCAAACCUUGUCUUGGACCCAGUCCACACUCAGCAAGGGAUGCGGUAUGUGUGUGCAUGACCGUGUGUAUCCGUUUUGUGUGUGGCAAAUUGCUCACGGGUCCCCACUUCACAGAGAGGACUUCACGGGCACAUGGAUGACUUUAGGGAAGGCAGUGGCCUCUGGGACAUCCCCUCUCCUGGUGCAGUGUGGGUGGGGCCAAAAGCAUGCACGAUGUGUGUGGUCUGGGUCCCUGCUUCCUGAGCGGGCAGUCACCAGCCUGGGCUGAUGGCUGGGGUGGCACUGGUGCGGGGCAGUGGCUUUGUGGUCCCUGCUGUUACUCGGUACGUGAGUGUGCAUGUUCUGCUUGGGGUAUGUGACCUGGUCCACUAACCCUCAGCAUCUAAUUCAUCCCCAGGACCGCGCCUUGAAGACAUACCAAGUCCACCCAAGGCAGUGGCUUUCUUUUCCGUGCUAACCUUUGGUACUUGGAGAGUGGUUAUCCCUGUCCUGUUCGUUUUGCUCAUGUCGAAUCGUACAGGGUCAUCCACUUUUUCAGUAUCAAGAGCGCAGACUCUGGAGCUCGAUUUCCUGUGUUUGGAUCCCACCUCUGACAUUUACUAACCGUCCAACUUUGGGCAAGGAUCUCAUCGUGCUGUGCCCGUUGUCUCCCAUGUCAAAUGGGAAUCACAUCGGCGUCUACUUCGUGGGCUGCUGGGGCUGAAUGAGUUAAGACUUGUACACGGCUCAGAGCAGAGCCCGGUGGUCGGCACUUCGUAGGUGGUAGCCAGGACCCUUGUGUGCUGUGAAACUAUCACUGGGGGUGGUGGUGGUGGUCUUAUGACUAAAAUCUCUCCGUGGGUUUUUGGAACAAUGUCAAGAUAUGGAAGUCAAGUCCUUUGUUGGGUAUGGAACGGACUAUGAAGCCCAGAGCACACACGGUGUUUACAGUGGGGGCUACUGACAGUGUUGAUGCUUGGCAGCUAAGCCAUGCUCACGAUGCUUUCGAAACACAAUGCCACAUGCAGUGGGGGUCAGCAGGGGUGCCGAGAACAUUUGCUCCACUUAAGAGAGACAGUCUCUGGAUUCUUGACCUCAGCCACUAUCCACACUUUGAAGCAAACUCUUGAGCGAGAACGCCAAGCCGAGUGAGAAUUCUAUGGCAUCUUGCUUCCCUGGUGCUUAAAGAGAGGUCAAACAUGGUGCAUGCAUUGUGCAUGCCUGUAUGUGCGUGGUGUGUGUGCAUGAGCGCGUGCGUGACUGGGUUUGCCAGGUAGCAGUCACCAUCCAACCUUGAGCUAAAGACCUGGAGGUGGUGGUGUUCCUGUCCGUGCUGCUGUUUCAUACUUGAGGAGAAAUUAUCCUUGGUGUGUUCGCUUUAUUUAUGAUGAAUCAUACAAGGACAAUUUCUUUUUGAGUAUCAAAUCCUGCUUCGGCAGACUUCCUGGACGCCACGACAAGUUCUGUAAAGGGACGCACGCAUCAGCCCUUCCCAGGGGGCUCACGCCUGGGUGGGGAUGAGGGUGCAUGCAGUUAGUUUGUGGUGGGGACACUUGUGCCCUAACCUCAGAACCCUGGAGGCGGGGCCAUGCUUGGCAAGGGGCCAUGGGACUCCUGGGUGCUGCCAAGGAUUUGCAUUGGCCAUGGGUGUGUGUUGUGGGUGACCCAGCAUUCAAGCGACUUAUCAAAUCCUGCCUCUUGGAGGCACUUCUUGGACAUGAAGCAAACCUUAGAGACAGAUCACUGGGGCCAGACCCCUUUCCCUGCCCGAGAGUGUGACCCCCAAGGCAUGGGCUUGACUCUCAAUGUGUGAAGCUGACCUGCUAAUCCUCAUUGUUUGGACUACCUGAGAAGAACCUUCUGGAAGAGACACCAACUUUGGAGAAGAUGCCCAGCUCUUCUUGAUGGCACAGUUCUUUGGUGCUUAAAGAAUGGCUGUCCGUAGUAUGGUCUCUAUAUUUAUGAUGAUUAAUAUCGGACAACCAUUGUUUUAGUAUCCAAAUUUGCUUCAGAAGUUUUCGAAAGCACAGUGCUGACUUCAGCGAGGGGACAUCGGUGCCUGCCCCACCAUGGAGUGUGACUGUGUCAUUGAUUUAUAAUAAUGAAUCCAGUGAUCUCAGAAGGCAAGCCACCAGUGUGAUUUCCUUGGACAAAUGCUAGCUUUGGGGUGGAGAUGCCAUUUAGGGGUUUGGUGCCAUAUAGUUUUAUUGGAAGAUGUUCACAAUUAUUUCAUCCCUCUUUCUCUUCUUGUUAUUUAAUCUUAACUACGAGGAAUUCCUUGGAGAGAUGCCAGUGUCAAGCAUCUCUCUAGAUAGAUGGUGGACCGGGGCAUCUGGGUCCAGCCUCUCCUAUCUUUAGCCUCCAUUCUGAGCAUGAAAACCUUCCUGUAGGGAAUGCAAACAUUAGUAAAAACUCAGUGCAUUUUCUGUUACUACUACUACUUUUUGGCAACUCCUAAGCAGCUGCCUGUUGGGUGCUAGGAUUAUUCUUGGUGGACAUGGCAUGGCUUUGUGUCUUCCUUGGGAACCACCCCAUCUCAGACAGACUCUCAUGGAAUAAGACAUUGUGUUCGACAGCAUCUCUGGGGUGUGUGUGUGUGUGUGUGUGUGUGUGUGCGCGCGCGCGCGCGCGUGCACGUGCAUAUGAAUUGUUGGCUAGAGUAGUGUUUCUCAAACUUUAAAAAUGCUCCUAAGAUUUUCAUCACCUAGGGAUCUUGUUAAAAAGCAGAUUCUGAUUCAGGGACCAAGAUUCUGCAUUUUUAGCAAGUUCUCAAGUGAUGCUAAUGCCGCCGGUCUGUGGACAACACGUGCAGCGGUUCAGGGCUGGAGACCAGGUGCUUUCCCUGUGAUGUGCGUCCUCUGUCUCCCCACAUGCCAUAAACUGUCCGUCACGGGAGAACGGCCCAGAAGUAAUGUGCCAUGCUUUGGUGUGUGAACAAGGGUUCACCUUCACAUGCCUAAAUAUCACAAGAUUACUUUUCUUUAAAUCAAAUCAUGCCUCAAAAGGGCUUCCCAAAUGCAAGACCUGCUUCAGGGAGGGGCCGCCGGCGUCAAGCUGCUGCAAGAUUGUCGGGUGGGGGUCAACGGCAUGCUGAUUCAUUAUUGAUGUCCUGGGCUCUGGAAUUCUGUGUCCCUUCGUUUCCAAGCAGUCCUCGGGAGGAACUUCCAGGAACUGAGACCAUCUCUGCGGUAGGGACCCUGUCUUCAGGGAUCAGUGACACCCCGUUUUGUUGGAAGCAGAAUUCUUCACGAUGGCUUUGCUUAUCUCUGACAUGCAUUCUGGUGGUUUCUCGUCAUCAAAUCCUGUCUGUCAGGAAUCCCUGGAGGAAGCUUUUAUAGAUCUUUAAUGGAACCUGCCUUAGAAGUCUUUCUGAGCAUGGUUCCAAUUUCAGGGUUUGGACUUUGGUGCCAGGGCCGCCUGAGCCCUGAGACUAAGGUACGGGAAUGGAAGGUUGAUGCCAGCAUCUGUGCUUUCUCUGCAGGAUGUGAACACCUCUCCCUGCCCCCGCUGCAACCCUGGGAUUCAGCUCAUCCUGAGAAGAAUCUUCUGGAAGCAAAGACAACGGUGGGGAAGAGGCCAUGGUUUUCGUUUCAGAACUAUUCAAGGAUAUUUGAGGAGAGGUUAUCCGUGUUAUGUUCGCUUCAUUCAUCAUGAAUAAUACAUGGUUAACCUCUUUUUGAAUAUCAGACUCUGCCUCGGAGGGCCGCCCCCACAGGAGACGUGAGAGUGUGUGCCUUGUGUGAGCUGAGAGCCCGCACCCCGGCUCUGUGCUGUGUGAGGGAGGCUUCCUGAAAGUGAGGCCGGUGGGGGGAAGAGCCCUGGAUUGCUUUGCUGUGUUUGCUGUGAAUGCGAUGUGUUUUUACGAGUUAUGUGAGGUUCCCUCCUCUUUGAAUGCCAACCUGUGCCUUCCCCCAGUGCUGGGGCUUGUGGCUUAGCCACAGGGCUAGGUCCUUUCCUGGGACAGACCCUCUGGACCUAGUGCUCUUCAGGGUGGCUCCCUGGGGGCGAGGACAAGGUCUACCACUGCCCUGGGACACUUGAGGAGAAGUUACUUCUUCCAUGCAGACUCCUCUGAGGACAGCCUGUUUUUUUUAGGGUCGGAUCUGGCCCAGGGUGGCUCCCUGGAUGAAGUCCAGUGCCUCUGUGGGUGUGUGAAGGGCAGGGCGACUUGGGCUCUGUUCCUACUCCUCACCCAGGUCACUGGCCCAGUGCCACUUCCUCCUCAGGUCAGCUUCCCUGAGGCUCUGCCAGCCGACCUGGUGGGAUCUCCUGGUCCACUGCUUGGCAUUCAAAGAUGCUGGCAUGGUGCCAGGUUCCCUUCGCUGCCUCCUGAUGGAGACCACGCAGCUAAUGACUCUUUGGCUCUGUGAUGCUGCCUCAGAGGGCUUCCUGCACGUAGCACCUAGUUUGGGAGGAGAGCACGGACUCCAGCAUGGCCCCUGGUUAUGGAGAAGGGAGGCUGUCCUUGAUCCCCGGUUUGGCUGUGCCUCCACCCAGAUCUCAUUUUGAGUUCCUUCGUGUUGUGGGAGGGUCCUGGUGGGAGGUGACGGAGUCAUGGAAGUGGGUCUUUCCCCUGCUGUUCUCAGGAUAGUGAACGGGUCUCACGAGAGCUGAUGGUUUCGUAAGGCGGGGUUUCCUGCACAACGUCUCUGUUUGCUACUGCCAUCCACGUAAGACCUGACUUGCUUCUCCUUGCCUUCCACCAUGACUGUGAGGCUUCCCCAGCCACGUGGAACUGUAAGUCCAAUCAAACCUCUUUCUUUUGCACAUUGCCUAGUCUUGGAUAUGUCUUUAUCAGCAGCCUGAAAAUGGACUAAUACAAUGGAGGACGGUGGCACCGAGCCCCGCCCCCUUCAGGAUGUGGUCCCUGUGCAGGGCAGCAUCCUGGAGUGGCUGCAAAGCCCCACUGCUCUCUGCCUCGAUGCUUUGUCUUAUCUGAGGUGGCCAGUGCGCGGGGGUCCCUGUGUGGAGUCAGUUCCGUAUGGGUGCCUGCGGGUGCCAGCUUCACAGUAAGAAAACUGUCAGCUUCGCCUGAGGUAUGUGCACAGAGGUGACGCAGGGACAGGAACUUUGUUGAUGAAUGUGUUCCCUGCGCCGCUAACCCGGAGAAUUCGUUCCACCCUCAGGAGAAGCCCUAGAAGUGAUGUAGGCUCUGGCCGGGGGAUGCCGACGUGCUGUGAAUGUCGCGGCACGGGGCUUGGUGAGGAACCGCUGGAGCGCUCUUGCACUUUUCAUGACAAAGACCACACCGUUGGCCUCAUUCCUGCAUGGUGGGAGAAUGUGUGGAGGUGUCUCGCCGCCAGAGAGGAGGCCUGUGCAGCACCAUCACGAGGUACCUGGGGAAGGGUCUGUUGACGAUGCCCAGUGUUCGCUGGCCCAAGCAACCAGUCCUUGGGGGACUUCUGGGCAAGACCGUUUCAGUGCUUAGCCCCACUCUGUGUCCCAGGCAGAGAGGGGCUAAAUUCAUGAUACCUAUUAAAUGGUUCAUUAAUUCUCAUUAUCCUUGCAACCUGCCUGUGAGGGCCCCCCAGAAGGUAGGGCAACUCCAGGGAAAUGUUCUCGCCAUCAGCACGAGGCCAUGGUCCAGGAGGUACUGCUGGAUCAGAGGCCACAGGGCAGAUUGUCAGGCCAGGUCACAGGCUUUCUCUGUCCUUGACCCUCAGCAUCCAGGCUACCUACAAGAGGAGGCAGGGGGACUCCUCUGCCACACCUGGAGAGGUCUCAUCCAUGGCAGGUUCCUUCUACAAUGCUUUCUCUGCUACUCAUCAUCACCUCUUUCCUGGAUAUAAUUCCAAGGAAUUAUUAAAGGAGGCAUUGGUGUCAGCACCUCCCAAAAUACUUGUAAAGAUGGCCCAUGGCAGAGCCUGUGCCUUCAUUAGAAGUAAGCAGUGGCCUCCAGGCUCUGGAGGCCUCGGGGGCAGAGCAGCGUCCAGGCUGACUGUGGGGCCUCGCCUGGGUUUGCGGCUCAUCAUAUUGGACCGCUGUUUUUCAGGACAGACUCCCUGGAGAGGUCCCUCGGCAGGACCCUGACCUGAGGGUCAGGGCACUGUCCAUGAUAAGGGAAUGGAUGGUUGAUCAGAGAACGUACAUUUUAUAAAUGGUGUAUGUCAAUUGAUCCACAGUCCCUACCCAUCCAGUGACUUCUCCUGGAGGCCACAUCAGCUCAGAAGAAGAGGUGGUGGUUUCCUAGGCCAUGCUGUUAUCUGGCACUUGAAUGGACCGUCUCCUUGCCAGGCAGACUAGCUGGAAGGAAGGUAGACUCUGGUGAAGAUGUGGGCCAUCAGCGUCAGCCUUCGGUACUUGAAGAGUGGUUAUCCCUGCUGUGUUCGCUUUAUUUAUGACGAAUCAUACAGGGACAUCCAGUUUUUCAGUAUCAAAUACUGCUUUGGAGGGCUUCCCGGACAGCGUCCCGCCUUCAGGCAGGAGGUGUUGGCUUCCUUCGCCUCCCACCCAAGGUAUGAAUGUGAGCGGGCCAUCGCAGGACACGAGCUUCCUCACGUGCCACAGCCAUGACCAGAAUCGAAUCUCUGAGGAAGAUGGCUGCUUCCAAGGCUGUGAUUUUCUGGAAGGGGCUUUGGUGUCUACACUACAUUACUGGGGGAGGUUGACCAGUGAGAAGCCCAUUCACACAAGACGUCUGUCACCUGCUCCAAGUGACCCUCACCCUUGGUAAGAUGAAUCCCUGGAGACAUGCUGACUUGGUAGUGUUACUGUCAUCAGCCGGACUGACUGAUAGGUAAUUGGUCAUCAUUAUUGCUUUUGUUCCAGGGCAGAAUUUUUGAGUGUCAAAUCUUGCCGGGGAAGGGUUUCUGGAAGUAGCUGUGCCCUCUGGGGAAACUUGGCAUCCACAUCUUUUACAGUUUGUGGAGAGUUAGUUGAGUAGUCUGAGCUUUGUUUCUGAGGCGUCUCCCUCAGCUCACUCUCCUGCCAGAGCUGUGUCCUGCCCAUGGCCAUAAUGGCUGUUGAGAGGGUUGGUGGCUUUGGCCACCAUGAUUUUAUUUAUCAGGUUUUCUCUUUUUACAAAAUCAGAUUCUUUUGUUUUUAGCAUAACUACAUGGUUCAUGAAUUGAUCAAAUAACAAGGAAUGACUUGGUCAGUCCAUAAACAGUGAUGGAGUGCACACUCUAUUCUUGGUGAUUCUGGACCUUAGCAUAGAGCAGAGAACGAAAUCAAGUUCUUGCUCACGUGGACUUUACAUUCUGGUGGAAGAGAUGGAUGAGAACACAUGAAUUAGGAAGUGUAAUUUUGUCCACUGCUAGGUUUUAUGGAGAAAGGGAAAGCAGGUUACAGUGACAGAGGUAAAAGCAGGUGGACCUUUGUGUUAAAUACAGGGGUCUGGAGAGCUCUCUCUGAGGAUGUGGGUGGGAAUGGAGUGGGCUGGACCAGAGGAAGAUCUGGGGUAGGAGCAUUUCAGGAAGAGGGCAAGGCCCAUGGAAAGCCCCCUGACAUCUUUAAGAAAAAGCAAGAAGGCCAGUGGGAUUGAACCGAGCUGCUGGGAGUCACUGGGUCUGAGCUGGGAGAGGCAGGACUCCAGGUUUUAUUCUGAGUGAGAUGGGGGAUUUGGAAGGGUUGUGAGCAGGGGGGAUGCAUGGUCUGUGUUGGAAAGAUCACUCUGACCACAAGGGCAUUGAUAGAGAACCCACCCAGGGCAGUGAUGGGGAACCCACCAGGGGGCUGGUGUGUCUGAGCUGGGCAGUUUCUCCAGGGGCACCUGCAGUGGCAAAAGGGGGCUCUCUCUGGACCUCCCCCAUUCAGUGGGCCCUGCGGGAGCUUGGCUGGCACCUUGAUGUGCUUGAUGGAUAACUCAGUGUGCUCUGUUGAGAAGUCCAAGGCCUUGUUCAGAAACCCUGGGGUCUACACACUGUGGAGUGCUCCUGGCCUGCGACAAGUGGCCUCCCUCUUCUCAUUUCUAAACCUUGCGCGUGUGGAUUCAGGACCAAAAUUUCGACUCCAGGGAAGGGGGACUGUGCCAGCACCACUCCGGGGGAGGUGAGUGGAGGGUUGCCCAAACUCCAGGGUGUUCCUAGAACACCUGUCAGCUGCCUCACUCAUGCUCGGUGUCCACUCUGUCCACAGGAUGGUGGUUGGCAGCCACUCCCCUUGGAGAAGUGGAAGGGGACUCCUUGUCUGUCUUGUCUCUGCUUUUCUGUGGUACUUGAAGAGAAGUUGUUCGUGGUGGAUUCGCUUUACUUAUGACGAAUCAUUCACGGACAACACUUUUUUCAGUACCAAAUGCUACCUCUAAGGACUUCCUGGACACAAUGGCAGCUUCAGGAAACAUAGUCUUUGUGUCAACCAUGUGGAAAAGCCAAGAAUGGAUGGCGGGCCAUGGACAGUGUGCUGACCUAGCUGUAAGUCACCUGGCCCGAUAACUCGAGCGUCCUAUGCACCUAUAGGAGGCCUUCCUGUGGGUCUCGCCAACUCUGGGGAAUCAGCUGUGGUUCUGUCACCAGCGUCACCUCACGAGACUUUGAAGAGAGGCUCCCUGGGCCCCAGGCCGACUUCCAGAAGAGAUGUUGGUGUCAGCACCGUCCAGGGUGUGUGACUGGUUGACCAGAGGGGCGUGCACUGUGUUCACCCUGUGGGCCACCUAGUCACCAACCCUCAGCAUCACUCCCACCCCAGGAAGACUUUCCAGAGCUCCCACCAACUCUGGGGAAGCGGCCAUGGACUUGCUGUGACUGCUUGGUGGACCGGGAUGACACGUACUCUUGCGGGGGUGUGUUUACUUAAAAUGCAAUGAGUCAACCUUGGCCUCCUUGAAGUGUUGACUUCCGAUGUUGGACGCCACAUUGUCUUCUGUUGAGGGACCUGAUGCAGGCCAGUUUUUCUCCUGGGUGUGUGACUGAAUCCUUCUUCCCAGAGCAUGUGCUGCAUUUAUUAGGGCUGUCACCUUGUCCUCUAAUACCCAGCAUCCUGUCUCUCCCUAGAAGGCUCCAUGGAGGUGCUGCGGCUUUGGGAAACAGCCAUGAUUCUCCUGUCGGGAACAAGUGAGCUACACAGAAGCUCCCUGUCUUGCCCAGGAGGACGAACUGCAUCGUUGCUGCUGGGGAGAAGGCAGUGCCCUCAGCACUCCCCUAAGGUAAGUGCGCCUCGGGUGAGCAUGCACUUAAUGUGGGUGUAUGUCACUCGGCUCGGCCCACUACCCAACGCUAUCCCACCCAUUCCUAACAGGACUCCCGAGAGGGGCGGCCACCUCUGCAAGAGAGGCAAUGGAUUACUACUCACCAGUGUUCAUGUGUGGUACUUGGAGAGAGGCUGGCCGUGAUGAAUUCGAUUCAUCAAAGCGAGUCAUACACGGCUCUCCUCUCUUUUAGUGUCAAAUUCUGCCUCGGAGGGCUUCCUGAGCUGCUUCCAAGGUAGGUUUCUGGAUGGCUGAACCCAUGGCAAGCACUUUUCUGAGGAUGCAUGUGACUGACAUACUAACUUUAGAGUCCAGGCUGACCCUCAAACAACUUCCUGGGGCACUACCAGCUUUAGGAAAAUCGAGAGAGGUUGUUGGGAUGCCCUAAUGUUUUAGAAGUUAAGAUUGAAAUAUACAUGGCUGACUUCUUUUUUCAUUCCUAUCAAAUUCAACCUUGCAGUUGAAUCUUGGGCAUCUAGAAGCAUCUUGAAUAGUCAGCCCUCGGGAUACAGAAGAGAAGAGAAACAGGACUCUGUGUGAUCCCUGGUUUACUAACCCACAACAGCCUCACACCCUCCAGAGAAUUCCUUUAAGGGAAUCCCAGGUUUACCAAGGAGGCAGUGCUUAGCCUGCUUUUGCAGACACAUUUGUGUGUGGUUUGCUUCAUUUUUAAUGACUCAUGUGCCACUGACAUCUUUGCAUUAUUAAGUGUUGCCUGCAUGGCCAGCUGAGCACAGGAAGUGGUAUUUCUGUGCGCACUAAUCCUGGGUUGGUGAACCUGGGGUUGGCUGGAGAGCAUGGGUUUGAGCCACCUGGUCCACUCAUCCUCAGGGUCCCAUCCACCCUCAGAGGCCACUCCCAAGCUGCCCAGGCUGUGCAGAAGAUGCAGGAAUGCUGUGAGCAGUGCCACCUCAUGGUACUCGGAGGGAGGUUGUCCGUGGUGAGUUCGCAUUAUUUAAUGAUGCCCAAUACACGGUCGACCUCUUUUCGGUAUCAGAUCUCACCAGGUGUCUUCUUGGACCUGAUGCCGAUUUAGGGGACACCAUACUCAUGUUGGUUCCACACCAGUGCAACUGAACAUGUGUUUGGCCCUGUAACCAAUGGGUAGGUGCUGCUAGCACUCCUAAUCCUCAAUCCGUGCAUUCCUGGGGAAGAAGCACGUGAUCUGUGCUCAAGACCCCUCUGUGACUGAGGAAGUGGUGGUGCCCAGGUUGCUUCCUGGGUUUUGUAUUUUUUUUAAAGAAAAAUAAUAUAUAGUUCUCUUCUCUUUCACUGUUAAAUCUUGUCAUGGAGGAAGGACUUCUUAGACAUGUUGACAAAUUCAGGGAAGGGGCAUUGAUUUCAGCGUUUUUGGGGACUCACUGGAAGGGUGAUUCACCACAUCUGUUGAUCUGGAGGCCACAUCAAAUUUAAGAACAGAGGAUAGUUGCAUUUUCAAUUUCUUGUUUUUCUUUUCAAAAAGGAUAAUUAUUCUACCUUAUUACCAUAUUUAUAAAAAUGACACAUGCUUAUGAUAAAAUUCAAGCGAUGUGGAAAAAUCUAAAUGAAAAAGAGGGAAAAUUGCCCGAUUCUCUGGGCACCCAGAAAUAACCAUUAAGGGCUUUAGAAAUUUCAUACACCUGUCUGAGCAUACAUGCAAACAGAAAAACAAGACAGACACAGAGAAAAUAUGAGAUCACACUGUACCUAAUCAUUUUAUUAAAAAUGCUAACUAUAAUUUUACUUCAAUUUAUCAUAAAGAACAAGCUAAAGGAGAUUGAAAUGAUUGAUAAAUAUUUCUCGCUUCACUGCCAGAGGUAGCAACUCCUAAAAGAUCCCCGUAAAAUUAAGAAAAAUUAGUGUGUAAAAAUUAAGUGGUUGGGAUUGUUACGGUUUUUAACUAUUUCAGUUUCACUCCUAGUUCAGAAAGAUAAAGAAGUCAGCACUUUUAUUCUUUGCUUAUUAUCUCCUGCUUUUUCUCAGUUAUAUAUUUUAAUUUUACAUUAUAAAUAUCUGCAAUUUGUUCUAGAACUAUAAUUCUUGCAAGUGUUUAGCCAUAGUUCUAUAUUUAAAUGAAUUCAUUUCUGACCACAAGGUUUGUUUGUUUGUUUUAACUGAGGUUUCUCCAUUCUUUAGUUUUUAACUUUAAUUUGUCUCUCAAUGGAAUUGAUCUUAUUGUUUUUGUGAGAAUAGCUCAUAGACACUACCCUUGAGUUCUGGUGCAUUUACGAAUAUGUAUCUCUUUCUUUUAUGCGUAAGGGACAGCUUAGCUAGGAAUAAAAGUCUCAGCCUACUUGUUUUUUCUCAGAAAUUUAUAGCUGUUGUCCACUGUCUUUUGCAUUGAGGCUUUCACUAGCUGUCUUAAUGUGGCUUCUCCAUGUAGCCCUUACUUACCUGGACUAUUUUAUGUAGUGAUCUUCACAAACCUUGUUAGAAACACUUUGGGAUACUGUGUUCUGUGAGGUAUUUCAUCUUUGAGAAUGUCUGACCAUUGCUCUUACACCUUUUCUCAUCUGUCCAUUUUUUUUCAUUCUGUUCUAUUUGGCCUUUAAAGAUAUGUAUUGUAUAAUUUCUUUCAGCUUUAGGGAUACAAGCCCCUUUCUUUGUUGAAUCUAUUGACUCUCAUGAUGGUGCUUUUCUUUGUGGUUUUUGUAGCUUUGUGUUGUGAGGUUAUCAUCAGUUGAGCACUAAGGUGUUUCUGUUUUGUUUUAAUCCCUAUGUACAUGAGUUUGCAUUUGGUUCUGCCUGGCACCCCAAGGAAUUUACCAGUUGGUGCCAGUUUUCUAACUCAUUUUGUUGGCUUACGGAUUCCCAGACAUAUGGUUGGCAUAAGUCCUCACCAUAUCUUUGUCCUGAAGCUUUGGUAUCUCACAGGAGACCUCUUUCUAUCCACUCCCUAAAAAUGACAAAUACUCUUAUCAUCCCUGGCUAUUAUAAAAUUUUCUGGUUCCCCUUUCCAUUCCUAGGUCAACUUCUCCUGGACCCACGGUCAUGUCUUUUUAUUCUGCUUAUACUUGAACUGGACUAUAGACUCUUGGAGCCUCUAGCUAGCACAGCACCCCUUAGGUCCCUUAGUAGCAGGUUGCAAACAUGUUGCUCUGAACUAAUUUUUUUCAUUAACACCUGAGGGUUUUGCCUUUCAGUUGUAUGUUUAUUUGGGAAUUGAUUUUGGCUGUGGUUGCAUUUUAUCCAACACUUCUCAACAUUUUUGGAGGAGAGGGUUCCUUACCAGCGCUUGUUGCUGGGAUGGAGCCUUUGAGCUGAAUGAUGGGUGAACUUGGCAUGACAUUCUUGGCUCCCAGUUUCUUCCCUCUGAACUUUGUAAACUUUGCUCCAUUGCUUUCUGGUAUUAAACCACUGCUGUGGACAAGCCUGGGGACAGCUUCUUUCCCCUUAGAUGGAUGAAUUUUUUUUUUCCUGCUUAGAUUUCCUGAUUCUUUCUUCAGUCUUGAAUAUUGGUGACUUUACCGGGUUAUGACUCAAUCGCUAUUUUUAUUCAUUAGUUUUUCUGAAUCAUAGUAUGCCUUCUUGAUGAGUAGAUUUAAUCAUUCCUUUGUUUUGAGGAUUUAUUCAUGUUAUGAGCACUUUUCUACUCCAGUAGUUGGUCUUUUCUUUGGUGAAAUAAUCUGUUUUGUUCAUUUCAUUAUGUGCUGGAGGAGAAGAAAGUCUGUCAUCUGGCCCCUUGCUGCCAUCUCUGUCUGCACAUCAGUCUGUUGUCAUUUGCACUGUGCAUUUGUCUACUUAAAACAAUCCUACCCAGAUGCCCCCUCCUCAGUGUCACCUUCCACCCUGGCAGGAUGCCUUAUGGCAAUGCCCACUUCUGAGAUAGUCGUGGGAGCCAGCACCACUGGCCAGGUAUGUAAAUUUUCUGUUAACAAUGGAAGAUUUUGAAAAACCAUAUAUGCUGUACCAUUAACCUGAAGCAUACAAUCUAUCCUUAGGAAGAAUUCCUGGAAAUUAUGCUCACCUUUGGGGAUGAGGCCAUGAUUCUGAGGUCAGUGCCAUGCCAUGGUCUAAUGAAGUUUGCAUUCAAUGCUAUUUGUUUCUUUAUGAUCAGUAUUGUAAAGUCAAUCUCUUUGUCAUGGACUCAGCUUUGGAGGACUUCCCGGACACAAGGCCUGUGUAAGGAAAGGAUUGUUACUGUCAGCCUUGAUGCUAAUGUGAGAUAAGGGAAUGUAUCCUGCUCUGAUCCAAAUGCCGAGUUUCUGUGUACUUGGCCUCUCCACCAUCAGGCUCCCUGGAAGUGCUUCUCAGGCGUGCACCCACCUUGACUAAGGCGUUGAGGUCUGGAUGGCUACAGGGUCCAGGAUGGGAUGGUUGAAUAUGGGGCGUGUGCUUUCUUUUCAACCCUCUUGCAGUCAGUCUGCUAACCCUCAAUGUUCACUGUCUCCUAGGGCGACUUCCUGGAGGAAGCCAGCUUUGGGGAAGAGGCACUGACACCGGGUCUGUGCUAGUGUGAGGUACUUGAAGAUAGGUUAUCCGUGUUGCCUUCGCUUUAUUUGUGACGAAUCAUACACGGUUGACCUAUUUUUCAGUACCAAAUCUCGCCUUGGAGGGCUUCCUGGAGCAGAAUCUCACUUCAGGGCAGGACCUUGGUGUCAGCUCCUCUCCAGGGUAAGCAAAGGGACCGUUGACCAUAGCUGACCCAGCAGAGAAUGUGGUUUCCUGAGGCCGUGUGCUCCGGCCUUAACCCUGUGUGUGCCCCAUCCUUGGGGAGGUUUCUAGAGAUGGUACCAGCUUUGGGGAAGAAGUGGGGCUUUUCCUCUCAGAGCUACUCUGUGGUACUGGUGGAGAGGUCUUCCAUGAUGCCUUCAAUUUAUUUUUUUACCAAUCCUACAUAGUGGACCCUUUUGAAAGCAUUAAAUCUAGCCUUGAAGCACCCUCGGGUGGUGCCGAGUUUAGGAACUAGAACUGGUGUCUGAAUGCCUGGACGGAUGGCGACGCUGACUGUGUGCACACUCUUCUUGGUGGACCGUGCACCUGCAGGCGUCCUGCUUGCUCACCACGGCGGUUUCCUCCAAAGAGGCAGCAGCUCCCUUGUCAGCUCACUUUGUGUUUGACAAGACGCCGUCUUGCUGUCUUCCCUGCUGCCCUCUCUUCACGUAUCACAGAAGGUGCUCUGCAGACCUCUCUGCUGUGGCACGUCCCUCCCUGAAUGGCUUCCUACAAGAGACGCUAACUGCAAGUAAGGGAUGGAGUACGGCCCGGACCACACAGUGUGUCUCAUGGGUGGUCUGUUGCCACCUUCCUGACUCUCAGAAUCCCGUCCGUCCUCAGGCCUGCUGCUGGGACGCGCUGGAAGUGAGCGCCCAAGUCAGGUACUCGAAUGGAGGUUGUCCAUGGUGUGUUCAUUUUAUUUAUGAUGAGUAUUACAUGGCCAAUCUCCUUUCGGUACUCAAUUCUUCUUGGGAAACGUCACGAGGGGCAAGCACAGCCGGCACCUGCUCAGGGUAAGGAAGUGGAUCACCUCCGCGCGGCAGGCACGCUCUGUGUGACUUACAUCACUUGGCCCAACGUCCCGGCCAUCAUUAGGAGGAAUUCACCGAAAUGAUGCUGACGUUUUAGUUGACAUAGUGGUCUUCUAGUCACGUCCUUGAAGACUCAUUAGUGAAUAAACCACAUUUAGUCAACCUUUUUAGGUGUGAAAUCAUCUUGGCUGUGUGGCACACUUUAGGGAAAGGAGCUCCUGGCUGAAUGGAAGACAUUCACAUUACCCCCUCAAAUACCUUAUCUUCGGGGUGACCCUUGGGAAGCAAGGGGUGGAGGGGGUCUCCUCGGCAGUGAUAAUUGAUGUUGUUUAAAGACGUGUGCGUUUCCGUGGCAUGACUCGGUUAUUCCUACUGCAAGAUGAGAAUCAUUAAUAGCAUUUAUUACUAUCUUAUGUUGCCAGCUGUGUGCCCUUGGAAAAUCCCUUCACCUGUCAGCUCUGUGGGCCUCAGUCUCUUUCUCUGUAAAGCAGGGUUAACAGGGGAGUAGAAGUGUGCUCUUUGUGAAAUGUCUAGACAGCGUCCGGCAUGUGGCUGUAGGAUAAGCAUUGUUUCUGAGGGUGGUCCUUAUAUGGAUGUUACGUCAUCUGCACUCAUUGUCCUCUUGCCGCUAGAAUGGAAGCUCCUUGAGGGCAGAGUCCUUGUUUGUCUUGCCUGGUGCUGUGUCCCCAGGUAUGCACAGUAGGUGUGAUGCUGAAUGAAUGAAUAGGCGGCGUGACCUGUUUUCUUGGUUGAAUUCUCUUUGAGGCCUCCUGGAAUGGAGUGCAUGGAGGACAGUCACCUGAACCUGUGCUGUCCCUGUGACACAGCCCCACCCACCCUCUGAGGAUGCUGCACUGGAAGAGGAGUCGCCAGCCUUCAGGUCAGGUCCUCCCUCAACCCCCUGUGUUGAGGGACCUUGGUAUCCCAGCCCCCCUAGGAUAGGUGACCAGGGGCUGACUCGAGCUUGGGCUGACCCACGCUGUGUGUGCGCAUGGCCUCACCCACACCGCCUGCUCCACGGCUACAGGAGCUGGUCCAUGGCCAACAAUGUUCCGACCACUGCCUGGGGGGCUCCUCGGAGGUAGAGAAAGAGAGAGAGAGAGAGAGCAAGAGGGGAGAGAGGGAGCGAGCAAGCCAGCAAGCCUGCAGCUGGAGUCAGCAGGGAGGCCCCGGAGGCAAUGCCACCUUUGGUGAAGAGGCAUCUCGGUGUGUUCUUGCCUGUGCUGACGUUUGACCCUUGAGCAGAGGUUGCCCUUGGUGAAUUCGCUUUAUUUAUGUUGAAUCACACAAAGGCAACUUUUGUUUGAGUAUCAAAUCCUGCUUGGGAUGGCUUCCGGGACCCAGUGGCAAGCUCAGGGGCAUCUACGCCCCUCCCGUGAGCAAGAAUGGACGGGGUAGACGUGGGUGGUCUGCCCUCUGCAGUCCUCUGCGGUGGAUGAGAACAGAUGUCGAUCAGAGAACACAAGCUUCAUUCAUGAUGGGGGCGGGGCCUGCGGCCCGGGGAGGAUGGCGUUGGUGUCACGUCGGCUUUGGCUCUUACCCUGGACCCUGUCUCUUCAUAUCACCGUGUUGGCUGUGUUGAUCCCGAAGACGUUUCGACCGCACCAAGUUUUUUUCAGAAGAUAUUUGACCUUGCGGAUAAACAAAGCGCUCACCCCCCUCCCCCCUUGGCAGUGUCUGUGACGAGGCUGCAGCCCCAGACCCCUGUCUCGCUCACAAGUGCUGUGUUUUUUUUCUAUGCCUUUCCUUGUCUCUAUUUUUCUCUUUCUAUCCCCCAGCCAAACAUUGGUCCCAAUUUUCUCCUGGGUUAUGAAAUAAAUAGAGGCCAUCAGUAUCUCAUCCCAUUUGUAUUAAAUAAUAGUGAUAAAAAUAAUCAACACAAAAUAAAACUAAAAGCAGCUGAAACGGCACAGCACUAAAUGUGUUCAGUUGAGUACAAAUUGGCAGAAGAAUCCAAUUUUCUUGACAACAUUUCGGCUGCGACAUUUGACCUGGGGAAAUAGAAAGCUGCCGACGUGGCAGCCGCAGAAGGAAAUUGACGGUGGCGGCGGCGAUAAACAGUAAUAUUCGAUGUAGACAAAAGCACAUUGAGGAACCAAAUCUUUAUUCAGAUUUUUAAAUGGAAAGGAAUUGAUCCUAAUGAAAAUGAUUUGGGGAAAAUAACAAGGGAAAUAAAAGAAAUGCAAACAGCUCAACAGCGCAGUCAAGACAGCUAAACAGGGAAUUGGAUUAGUGUAAUGGCAUUCGCUCUGAAAAACACGUUUCUAUGAAAAUCAGUGUUGGUGCAAUUCUUGUGAAGAUGGUUACAUUUGUGUAUUUACAGUGGAGUUGCUGGGGUCAGUAGGAAUCUAGGGUCAAAAAAUGGGAUACAGUCUCUUCCCUUAUGCAGUUGACCUUUCCUUUCUGUGCCAAACCUUCCCGAGAGCUUCCUGGAAAGGUGUGCUGACUUCAGGUGUGACACACUGCUAAGGCGUCCUCCCGGGGAUCUGGGUGCAUGUUGUCCCCAGAGUAUUCACUAUGUAACUGACAGGCAUCACCUGGUCUCCCUCCAUCCCCAUGGAGGGUUCUGGGUGAGACGCUAACUCGAGGGAAGCAGAAGUUCUACCAUCAGUGGGGUCUGGUCUUUCAGGACAGUUGCUUCUGUGAGCCCAGGAAAUCUGAGACAGCUCUCAGUUAAUUUAGAAGGUUUAUUUUGCCAAGGUUGAGGAUACACCCAUAACACAGCCUCAGGACGUCCUGUGGUCAAGGCACAGCUUGGCUUUAUACAUUUUAGGGAGACAUGAGACAUCAUUCAAUAUACGUAAGAAGUACAUUGGUUUGGGGCCUGCAAAGGUGGGAUGACUUGAAGCGAAGGCAGGAAGAAGGAGGGAGCCUCCAGGUCACAGAUGGGUGAUACACAAACAAUUAUAUUCUUUCGCAUUUCUGAUGAGCCUUUCCAAAGGAGGCAAAUCAGAUAUGCAUCUGUCUCAGUGAGCAGAGGGGUGACUUUGAAUGGAAUGAGAGGCAGGUUUAUCCUGAGCAGUUUCCAGCUUGACUUUUCCUUCGUGAUUUUAGGGACCCGAGAUACUUUCCUUUCACACUUCCGAGGCUGUUGCUGAACACACAGGAAUCCAGGAACACUCUGAGGUUUAGUCCUUCCUCAGACUGUGCUGUUGACACCUUACAUGGUUCCAUGCUGGUCCCAAGGACACGCCCUUCGUUGGUGCUGAAUGUCAGUUGGUCAUGGAGGCUGAAAGUCAUUCUGGAGUUGAUGUUUCCAAGAUCGAGCCCUACCUGGAGAAUUUCCAGAAGCAACAGCACCCUCAAGAGGCAGCCUGCAGCCAGAGCCCUCUCCAGGGUAGGUGCCUGAGGGCCGCCCAUGGGACAGCCCCGAUUGUACCCAUGGUGUGUGUCAUCUGCUCCCCUCCUGCCGACUCCAGUGCGUUCCGGGACCACCUUGGGAGGUGAUGCCUGCCCUGGGAAGGAGGUUCUGCUGCAGGUCAGUGCCCAUGGCUCCUGACGGGAAGUCGUCUGUGACAUCUUUUCUUUCUUUACAGCAGGCCCCGCAUGGCAGGCCCCUUGCUCCACUUGUAGCAAGAUGCAGAGGGCUCUCAGCUCAUGCCAACGUCAGGGAAAGGAUUCUGCUGUCGGUCCCACUCCAAAGUGCAUAGAAUGGGUGGUGGGCACAGAAUCCGGACUCUGCUUGUGGCAUCUGUCGUCCGGCCCGAUGCUUGUUGGCUGCCCGCUCCAGGAGGCACCUUCUGGGUGUUCUCUGAGUCUGGGGAAGGUUGGGUUCUGAGGUCAGGGCUGCCCUGACCCUUGUAAAGAGAAGACAUCUGUGACUCUCCUGCUUUCUUCUGCGGCAUUUAUCCCCCCAGUCCCUUAUUUUUAAUGUCUCACUUGCUUUAUGAGGCUAAUCAGAUGGUCAGCCAGCUGUUGAUAACUGUGAAGUCACCCUCUGAGGGAUCCUGGGGUGAUGGCUCUGUGGGCUGGAGAUGGUGCUGGUGAGACCGCGGGUCUGGGAUCAGCGGUGUACCCUGUUGAGCUCCUGCCAAAGGCAUCCUCUGCUGGGAGGGAGGCUCUGUGCUUGUGCAGGGGUCCCUAUAGGGUCACCCCCUCUCAGGGUCUGGGAAUGAAAAGCGGGUGCGAGCAGCCGGGUUUCAUCUUCAUCUUUAGCAAGGUGCCCAAGGAAGGUUGCCGUCUUUUCAGUAUAAGAUCCUACCUGGGUCUUGCACUCACCUUCUGGGAAGAGUCUCCAGAGUCAUUCUGGAAGGGAUUGGAAUGGUUGGACUUGGCAAUUGGGAAUGUCCUUGGAGAGUGUGAGACUCUGGUCUCUGAAUGUCCAGACCUUGUGCUGCCCUUGGGGGAGGGUCUUCCGCAGUCACGGCCGCCUGCAAGCAUCCUCCUUAGUUCGAGCAUCUGAGCCUCUCCAUGGUACUCGGGGAGAGGUUACCCGAGCAACUUUGCAUCUGGACGACGAAUGUUGCUCGGUGAACCCCUUUUCGGUAUCAAAUUCCACCAGGGAGGCCGUCUUGGAGGCGGGGGCACCUCGGGGAAGGACGCCAGCAUCAGCACCAUUCUGGGGUACAGGGAUGGAUGGUCGACCAGUUGGAAAGUAAUUGUUUCUAAUGUACUUCACCUGGUCCACUAGCCGUCCGUAUCCGCUGCAGCCUGUGGGGCCUGCGGGCCGGGGAGCCGAUCGCGCUUCAGCUCAGCGCCUUUCCUGGUACUUGAAGGGAGAUCGACCGUGUUAUAUUCGCUUUAUUGACUUCGAAUAAUACAUGGUUGAUCUUUUCUCAGUAUCAAAUCUCACCUUGGAGGACCCGUUGGAGAUGAAGCCCUUUGGAGGGUGGGAGCGGGACAGGUGCUUUGGAGUCACGGUCUCAGUGGGGACCUGGUCACUGAGGGUGGGCCGGGCGGGGUCUCUUUCCUGUCUCUGUGUCUUCUCACCUUUGGUGUCCCAUCCGUCCUCAGGACAGCUUCCCGGGGGCGACGCUGGCACCACAGGACGCAGCAGCCACAUUCUUGAGCCGAUGGCCCUCUGGGUACCUGAGGAGAGGUUGUCUGUGAUGAGUUCGCUUUUAUUAAUGACGAAUAUAACACAGAUGGCCUGUUUUCAGUACCGCUACCGCCCAGUGGUGUGCGGGCGCCACGCCUGAGGUGGGCCUUUUCAGGGUAUGUGAAUGCAUGGGCUGACGUGACAUUUGUCAUCCUUUCCACUGACCCCCGCCAUCGAAUCAUUUUGGGAGAGCUUUUGGGGGGCCAUGUGGACUUUGGGGAAGAUGCUGGGGUUGUGCACUGGGGUGGGGAGCGGUCAUGAAGCUGAUGAGCAAUGGGUGACGGGGCUCAGUCUGUUUUUCAUGGCCAGUGCCAUCAAGGCAGAGGACUAGGGGGAGCUAGUCCUGCUGGAAGGCAUCCUGCUGCAAGGCCACCCGCCCCUUGCCAGGGUGUUGGGGGCGGCUGCAUGCAUUCCCUGCACCCAGGCUGCUUCUGCUCGUCCAGUGCUAUGAGACCCUGGGUGGGAGCCGGUGCCUUGGGUGGCCAUGUGUGUGUGCUGCUCCCCACAGUGCCUGAGGAGAGGUGGCCUGUGUUGCCUUCACAGAAAUCAUGACACACAAGACACGAUCAGUCUCUCUUCAGUGUCAGAUCCCGCCUGCAUGAUUCCUGCACCUGCUGAUGUCGGGGAGGGCCAGAUGUGCACCCUGGGGGACCCCAGAGGCAUGGCUGGUGGCCGAGCAAGUGCUUGACUUCCACCUGCAGCCCUGUGCUGGCCUCCGCCCUGGAGGCAGGUGGCGGGUGGCAGGGCCUGUCACUGAGGAAGGAGCCUCCUCCCUGGAGUCAGCGCUGCUCAGUGGUACCUGAAAUAGGUUGCCUGUGAGGUGUUCACUUUCUAUAUGCUGAAUAUUAUACAGUCAACCUCUUUCCGAUAUCGAAUCCCACCUUGGAUGCCUUCCUCUUCGCUGCUGACUCCAGGCAGCAGCUGUCUCUGCUCUGGUUGACCCUAUGGACUUUGUGUAGGGCCUGUGUCACCUGGCCUGUUAACUUUCCAGCUCCACCCUGUUCUGGAGGGCUUUGGAAGUGUGACAGAAUGGCAUCCCCGAUUCCAGUGUCAGUGGCAGCACCCGCCAUGCCCUUGCUUCCGGUUGGCACGUCCCCCAGGCUGGGCUGGCCUUCAGCUACCUGAUGCUUAUGUCAUAUUUGCACCCCUGGCCUGCCCAGACUACAGGAAGAUGACCAGAGGCCUGUUUGCAGCUGACCUGGAGACUUAGUGACUCCAGAAUGUGCUGCCCAUGCCCAGGGUCCAGGGCCAAAGGCAAGGAGCACCUCAGGAGUGACCCCAAAGAAUGAGCUACGGCUGCCCUUUACCGCUCGUUGUUGAUCAGUGAGCUCCUGGGCUCGGAAGGUCUUCGUGAGCCUGGCUCCCAUCAUCCCGAUUGAGACAUCGCCGCCUUGGAAGUCGCAGCCCUGUGCCUGCCUUCCCUCUUGUGGGCUUCUCCUCAGGACCGCUCCCCUCUGUGCCCAGCAUGGGAGUGAGGAUCCCCAGCACCGUCCCUCUGGGCUGCUGCUGCCACUCUCCCUCAGCACCCCUGUUUCCCAGCCCCUGGGCCACACCCUGCUGGAGAGGCCGGCCCCACUAGCUAGGCCCCUCUGGUCACUUGGGUCUCCCUCCAGUGCCCCCUCCCUCUGCCAGGGAGAGCAUUUGCAAGUGCAGAGUCCAGCUGUUUACCUGCACUGCCCAGAGCACCUCUGCAGGCCCCUUCCCUUGGGCUUGGUGCCAAGAUGGUCCGAGGACUCCCCAGGCCCCAAGAGUGGCAGCCCCCCUCUUCUUUUGGAGCCACAGCCUAUCCCCCAUGUGUUUCCAUCCUUCGUUCUGGCCCUGCACACGCCCCUCCUUCCGGAGCUGAGUCCUGGGCGGCCCUGCUCUGCCCUCGGCUACCUCCUGUCCAGGCUCCAGCCCUUCCUUCCUUAGAGGGCCACAUCCUUUGCAUUUUCCUUUCCCAGGGGUUCACACUUCCCAAGGGGAUGGAAUGUCUCUUGUUCAGCAAGGUCAUCCCUGAUAACCCUGUAAAAGCAGCUCUUCCCUUGCCUCUUCCCCAUCACUUUGUAACAGUUGCCCCGUUACUGUUUUCUUCCUAGCUUACAGCUCUCUGAAAUUGCUUAAUGUUAAUGUCUACUUUCUCUGUGUCCUAGACUGUGAGAUCUGUCAUUGGCAGAAAUUUCUCUCUCUUUCUCUCUCUCUCUCUCUUAUCCUCUGCUGUGUCCCCAGCACUGAAACAGUAGCAGAACAGUGAGUGUUUGUUGACUGACUACUGGAGUCCCCGAAGACAGGGACUGGAUCAGGUGAAUCCCCAGGCAGGUGCAGGGCACAAAAGCAGGCAGUCAAUAAGAUGUGGUGAUGGAGUACAUGGAUAUGUUAAUCGAGUUUUAGAAAUUCUUCCCAUUUGUUCAAAGCUGUUUGGUUUUCCAGCUUUUUCUACCCUUCCAGGAUGAGGCUGAGAUUUGUUGCAGGAGGCACAAGUCAGCUGGGUCUGGGUUCUCUCUUCCACUUUCCAGAGGGUAGUGGCACCAAAGCCCCAGAGGCAGUGACAAGCCCCGUGUCCCCCUGCAGAUGCUGACUGAGCGCGCCCCUGCCCCUCCAGCAAACGCCCCAGCGCUGAGAGCCAGAUGCUCUGGGGAACUCCAUCUGCAACGGGCUGGAGCGUGGUGUUAGGGCUCAUAUUUUAUGCAUGGGGCUGACUAAAUGGGAACAUUUGGAGAUGAAAAUUGCUGUUAAUGCAUCUACACAUCUUUGGAAUAUAUUAAAUGUGCGUGUGAGGGGGAGAGUGACAUUAGCCUUAUUUAAUAGCUUCAAUGUAACCAUCCCCACACACCGUGGCAUUAACAGACACAGGCCCCCCUCCCCGAGCCUCCCAGGCCACCACUCAGGAAGAGUGCUGGGUGCAUCACCUGCCACUUGAGAAUUACACGUGAGUCCGGCGUCAGCCCGGCAUUCGGCAGCGUGCAUGUUCCCCGCCCAUUUCUAACCCAAACACAGUGACCCUGUGCCAAACUCGAUGCAGAAUUUCAUUAAAAGCAAAAAUGAUUGGUUUAUCUAUUGUUUGCGCAGAAGAAAGAAUAAACAAAGGGCCUUUCGCAUCAGAUAAGCCAAACGAGAACGUGUGCCCCCCAGGUGGGCAGGAUGAAAGUUUUCACGGACCCUUCAGCCAGAGGGCCAGUGACUUGUCCCAUCUCCAGGGCGGUGUGUAAACCCUGCCGCCGGUCCAGGUUCACGAGGUGUGCUCCUUUCUCCAGCGCAAAGGCCCGGUUUAUCCCCACAUGUCUCCUGGAGGUGGUUAGGAAAUUGAACAACCUGGACCUCCAUUCCCAUUUCCUUGUUGUUUUCAGCCAGAGAUAAGAGGAGAAGUAAUAGCUGUCCUAAAGGGGUGCUUGCCUUGGUCCUGGGCCCCAUCAGCUGCUGUGAGUGGACAGUUUCUGUUCCACAGUCAAGGAAAUGGAGCACAGAGAGGUUGAGUGACUCAACCAAGGUCACCCAGCUGGAGGUGGGGCAGGGUCUGGCUCCAGGCUGUGUGCUCUUACCCUGCUUGCAAGGGCUUUAGGAAUAGCCCCUGUGUCCUGGAAGACAGAUUGCUCAUCAAAUGGGCCUCUUUUCUUGGUAUUAUAUGGUGAAGUAGGCUCACUUUCCCCAAGACUUAGCUUGCCAGAACGUUCAUGUUUUUUUUCUCUGUACCCACCCCUCGUCUCUCCAACAUGGUGCCAUCACCCAUGAAAUGGGAUGCUUUCGUGUGUGUCUGGCCUGGGGAGAGGGCUGCUUGCUUUGUCAGAAGACUCAAAGCAUGAUGGGCAUCGAAAAACCAAAGACCUUUGUUGACCUGUGUUUUUCACUCUGCUUGAUGGUAAUUGAGGGCUGUAUUCACUGCCUCGGUUGCAUGGAGUGAACAAGACCUAGCGAAGGUGACGGGUGCCCUGAGACCAUCUGGUUGAUCUCUCCUGGGCAGGACCAGGUGCUCCCCUCACUGCCCCCACCCUUGUCUGUGUACCACUACUCUGCACAAACACGGCGGCUGGUGCAGUCCUGGAGACCCACUUAGCUCACGGUUGUCAGGGGUCCUCAAGGAUUCAGAGAACCCCCGAACAUCAAGGCUGCUCCCUUCUUGUCCUGCCUCUCUGCUCACACCCUUGGACAGGUAAGAAAACUGAGGUCCACAGAGGGGAGGGUGCACUGCUGUGGCUUUUGUUCUGAGCACUGUCUCCCCAACUUUGGGGUUGGGGCUCCGGGGUCAAGACCCACUUCUGAUGAACAAGCAGCUUCCUUCUUUGUAAAAAUUGAGGCGAUCCAAACCAAGAAGGGCUGCAAAAUCACCAAGUUGGGACCUCAAUACCCACGGGGCUGGGGUUUCAGCCACCCUGUGGCAGAGCUUUUAGAAUCAGGGCCCUUGGCUCAGCAGUGCUGGCUCAUAGUAGGUGCUUAGUUCAUGCCUGUCUCCUUGGAUGAAAUCUGACCACAGACACCAGUGCAAAGCAGGUGUUCAACACAGGAAGGUGUACUGAACCCGAUCUCUCUAUCACCAGGAGGAAGCACACAGGAGGCACGCAGAGCACGUUUGUGGAAUGAAUAAAUAAAAACGUAUCUUUGAGGGAAUAAAGAAGAAAAAAACAAAGAAGAAUCUGGGGAAGAUGGGCAUAAAUCUCCACCAAGUGCUGCCAAGGCUUCCCAACCGAGGCUUCUGAAAAGACCCUGUGGAGAGUCUCAGUCCCCGCUUUGCCACCAUCUCCUCCUCCGAUCUCCUUUCCUGCUUCAAAAGACUCCAGAAUCUUCCCGGUUCUCAGAGAAGGCUGAAUCCACCUAUGACCUAGUGGGUGCAUCCUGUGCCAAAAUUGUUUACCUUCUGGUCCCCGGAGCCAUGGGUCACGACCUGGUCCUCACGUAGGCCCGCUCCUCAGCAGCCCCCACCUCGCUGGGGAAGAAGGAGAGCCCUGGGGGUGUGGAGAAGCCCCCGCAUCCCUCACAUCUUACAGAAUCUCCAUUGAGUCCCUGGGGACACAUCCCUCAGCAGGACACGAACAGUCUUUGCCGCGGCAUGGGGAGGGCUGUGCUGGGGACGAGCGCCCAGUGGCCAUGGACUAAGUGAAGGAGCAGAUGACCAUGCUCUUCUCCCAGCUGGACGGCGAGGCCGGGCAGGAACGCAGAAUUUUUGCUCUUCGUUUUCAAACACUUUGCUGUCGAGCUAUUUGAAUAAUAAAUACACAUUAUAAAAAUGUAAA